rnacentral:rRNA from 1 species
UGGACAGAAAGACCCUAUGAAGCUUUACUGUAACUUGAAAUUGAAAUUGGAUUUUAGUCGCGCAGUAUAGGUGGGAGGCGUUGAGAAUAAUCUUGUGGGAAUAUUGGAGCUGUUAAUGAAAUACCACUCUUCUACUAUUAAAUUUCUAACCUUGAAUCAUUAUCUGGUCAAGGAACAAUUUUUGGUGGGCAGUUUGACUGGGGCGGUCGCCUCCCAAAAAGUAACGGAGGCGUACAAAGGUUUCCCCUGAACGAAUAGAAAUCGUAUCUAGAGUAUAAAGGCAUAAGGAAGCUUGACUGUGAGGCCUACAAGUCGAGCAGGGACGAAAGUCGGUCUUAGUGAUCUGACGGUACUGAGUGGAAAGGCCGUCACUCAACGGAUAAAAGUUACUCUAGGGAUAACAGGCU